rnacentral:rRNA from 1 species
GACGAACCGUGCAAACGUUAUUCGGAAUCACUGGGCUUAAAGGGUGCGUAGGCGGGCUCGUUAGUCAGGGGUGAAAUCCCACGGCCCAACCGUGGAAGUGCCUCUGAUACUGCGAGCCUCGAGGGGGAUAGGGGCGUGCGGAACUCAGGGUGGAGCGGUGAAAUGCGUAGAUAUCCUGAGGAACACCGGUGGCGAAAGCGGCGCGCUGGAUCCCUACUGACGCUGAGGCACGAAAGCCAGGGGAGCAAACGGG